rnacentral:rRNA from 1 species
GGGACACGUGGUAUCCUGUCUGAAUAUGGGGGGACCAUCCUCCAAGGCUAAAUACUCCUGACUGACCGAUAGUGAACCAGUACCGUGAGGGAAAGGCGAAAAGAACCCCGGCGAGGGGAGUGAAAAAGAACCUGAAACCGUGUACGUACAAGCAGUGGGAGCACGCUUAGGCGUGUGACUGCGUACCUUUUGUAUAAUGGGUCAGCGACUUAUAUUCUGUAGCAAGGUUAACCGAAUAGGGGAGCCGAAGGGAAACCGAGUCUUAACUGGGCGUUAAGUUGCAGGGUAUAGACCCGAAACCCGGUGAUCUAGCCAUGGGCAGGUUGAAGGUUGGGUAACACUAACUGGAGGACCGAACCGACUAAUGUUGAAAAAUUAGCGGAUGACUUGUGGCUGGGGGUGAAAGGCCAAUCAAACCGGGAGAUAGCUGGUUCUCCCCGAAAGCUAUUUAGGUAGCGCCUCGUGAAUUCAUCUCCGGGGGUAGAGCACUGUUUCGGCAAGGGGGUCAUCCCGACUUACCAACCCGAUGCAAACUGCGAAUACCGGAGAAUGUUAUCACGGGAGACACACGGCGGGUGCUAACGUCCGUCGUGAAGAGGGAAACAACCCAGACCGCCAGCUAAGGUCCCAAAGUCAUGGUUAAGUGGGAAACGAUGUGGGAAGGCCCAGACAGCCAGGAUGUUGGCUUAGAAGCAGCCAUCAUUUAAAGAAAGCGUAAUAGCUCACUGGUCGAGUCGGCCUGCGCGGAAGAUGUAACGGGGCUAAACCAUGCACCGAAGCUGCGGCAGCGACGCUUAUGCGUUGUUGGGUAGGGGAGCGUUCUGUAAGCCUGCGAAGGUGUGCUGUGAGGCAUGCUGGAGGUAUCAGAAGUGCGAAUGCUGACAUAAGUAACGAUAAAGCGGGUGAAAAGCCCGCUCGCCGGAAGACCAAGGGUUCCUGUCCAACGUUAAUCGGGGCAGGGUGAGUCGACCCCUAAGGCGAGGCCGAAAGGCGUAGUCGAUGGGAAACAGGUUAAUAUUCCUGUACUUGGUGUUACUGCGAAGGGGGGACGGAGAAGGCUAUGUUGGCCGGGCGACGGUUGUCCCGGUUUAAGCGUGUAGGCUGGUUUUCCAGGCAAAUCCGGAAAAUCAAGGCUGAGGCGUGAUGACGAGGCACUACGGUGCUGAAGCAACAAAUGCCCUGCUUCCAGGAAAAGCCUCUAAGCAUCAGGUAACAUCAAAUCGUACCCCAAACCGACACAGGUGGUCAGGUAGAGAAUACCAAGGCGCUUGAGAGAACUCGGGUGAAGGAACUAGGCAAAAUGGUGCCGUAACUUCGGGAGAAGGCACGCUGAUAUGUAGGUGAAGUCCCUCGCGGAUGGAGCUGAAAUCAGUCGAAGAUACCAGCUGGCUGCAACUGUUUAUUAAAAACACAGCACUGUGCAAACACGAAAGUGGACGUAUACGGUGUGACGCCUGCCCGGUGCCGGAAGGUUAAUUGAUGGGGUUAGCGCAAGCGAAGCUCUUGAUCGAAGCCCCGGUAAACGGCGGCCGUAACUAUAACGGUCCUAAGGUAGCGAAAUUCCUUGUCGGGUAAGUUCCGACCUGCACGAAUGGCGUAAUGAUGG